rnacentral:lncRNA from 1 species
AACGCCCCGGCCUGCUGCAUCUCCUACCGAGCCGGCCUAAGAGGCCCGAGGUGAGCAACUUCGCUGCACUAUACAGCGCCUGUAGGCGCGAUAUAUUAUGUUGCGCCCAUGCCUCUUCUUGGCCCGUUAGAUAGAUUUGGACCGCAGGGAUUUUUCGAAUUACAUAUUAGAUGCCUAUUUAAAACAUCCAUAACUUUUAAGACGUGCAUCAGAUCGAAAUAAGUUAGAUAUGUAGAACGUGUCGAAUUUUGUGUAGAUUAAUAUUUUCCAACUCUCCUACAUAUUUAAAAUUGUUAAGCUUGCUAGUUUCCUCGUUUUGCAUGAUGCCAUGCUAAAUCGGUUUAAUUCGUAGCUAGUUAACCUUAGCUCCGUUGGAGAUGAGAUAUAUAUGUAAAUCGACUAGAAUAAUUUGUAGUUUCACGUGAGCCACUUUAUUUUGCCGUUUAACAAACAUAAAAUGUGUUUAGGAUAGGUCUGGACAGAUUUCAAAGUUAACGUGUGGGGUCGUUUCGGAAAUGCUAUAUGUCAUUUUCAACCUCAUUUAAAAUGCCUAGAUAGGUAGUUUAUUUAUGUUUCACCUCUUGUCAUGUUUAAACAACAUUUAAUAUUAUCAUGUACCUAAACAGGAGUGAACUAAAUAAUUCGUAUGUGGAGUUUUGUCAAUAUGCAACUCGUUGCAUAUUAAGCUUCACUUAACGUGUAGUGUUUGAUUGUUGUGAAUUGCCAUGUCAUGGCUUGCAUAAUUGAAACUGAUCAUGCAUCAUAUUUGGUUGUGCAUCAUAUCGUGCAUGUGCUGUGAUGAAUAUCGUGUGUUGAUUCUUGUUUCCGGUUUGGUUCUUCUCUAUAGAGUUCCGCAAGCAUGUCGGAAUGUGAGGGUUCCUUCGACUACGUUGGUUCGUGUGCUUCAUGGAUUCGUUCUUGUUCCAAGCGGGAUCUCAGGCAAGAUGACCAUUUCCCUAGAUACCAUUACUACCAAUGCCAUGCUAGUUGUCUUGUUUCUUUCGCUAUGUCUCGCUUCCCACCACUUAAAUGUCA